rnacentral:rRNA from 1 species
UACGUAGGGAGCAAGCGUUGUCCGGAAUCAUUGGGCGUAAAGCGCGCGUAGGUGGCUUCGUAAGUCCGUUGUGAAAGUCAAAGGCUCAACCUUUGAAAGCCGAUGGAUACUGCGGAGCUAGAGUACGGAAGAGGCGAGUGGAAUUCCUGGUGUAGCGGUGGAAUGCGCAGAUAUCAGGAGGAACACCAAUGGCGAAGGCAGAUCUCUGGGCCGUAACUGACGCUGAGGAGCGAAAGCAUGGGGAGCGAACAGG